UAGCUCAGUUGGUCAGAGCGAGCGACUCAUAAUCGCCAGGUCGCUGGUUCAAGUCCAG
rnacentral:tRNA from 1 species